rnacentral:lncRNA from 1 species
UUUGCUCAUCCCUAAGUGUAUCGAAUAGCAUAUACAUACCAACCAAUACCAUACCGAGGUGACCGUUUUUGUCCCCGUUGACUUAAAAUCUUGGAUCUCUCACAGGGUGGCGGAGAUUAAUGGAGGCAGCACUACCCUAGUAGCGUUUAAUUGUUGACGCGUUUUAUUAUCUCAAGUUUAUAUAGUAGUGCAAUCGAAAUAACUUAGAAUUCACAGAAACAUACCAGGAAAGUAUAUACCAAACAUGCUUCUAUAGUUAAGAUGUAAAUGCAUGUUGUUAUGCAAAGUGUAAAUGAGCCUAAUUGCUAGCUUUACACUGAAGAUUGAAGCCCAAUAACACCUGCUAGAUUACAAUGCUAAAAAAACAUCACUGUUCCUCUCAAGAAUAUUCAUAUAUACAGUUUAAUGAUAAUUAGCAAUGGGCCCCUUGUACAAUUGCCGUUGACGUGGCGUGCUAAAGCCCCUAGGGGCUUUAUUCCACACUACCCAUCCUAAAUGAAAGGCGCUACUGAAUGGCACAAAAGUUCACAAAUGUGGCAACAAUUAACUAACUAAAAAUAGUUAUUUACAGUUGAACUCAACUAUAAAAGCCUUGUUUGAGUUCUUUCGAUCUCAUAAUCUCAUUGCUUU